GAUGAACGCUGGCGGCGUGCCUAAUACAUGCAAGUCGAGCGAACGGACGAGAAGCUUGCUUCUCUAAUGUUAGCGGCGGACGGGUGAGUAACACGUGGAUAACCUACCUAUAAGACUGGGAUAACUUCGGGAAACCGUAGCUAAUACCGGAUAAUAUUUUGAACCGCAUGGUUCAAAAGUGAAAGACGGUCUUGCUGUCACUUAUAGAUGGAUCCGCGCUGCAUUAGCUAGUUGGUAAGGUAACGGCUUACCAAGGCAACGAUGCAUAGCCGACCUGAGAGGGUGAUCGGCCACACUGGAACUGAGACACGGUCCAGACUCCUACGGGAGGCAGCAGUAGGGAAUCUUCCGCAAUGGGCGAAAGCCUGACGGAGCAACGCCGCGUGAGUGAUGAAGGUCUUCGGAUCGUAAAACCCUGUUAUUAGGGAAGAACAUAUGUGUAAGUAACUGUGCACAUCUUGACGGUACCUAAUCAGAAAGCCACGGCUAACUACGUG
rnacentral:rRNA from 1 species